rnacentral:lncRNA from 1 species
UCAUAAUAUGUAACAACUAUGGAAUAAACCAUAGACAACAGCAAUAUUAACAUAAAAAUUAAAAAUUCUUGAUAAUUAAACCAAGAUAUACGGGUUAGAAUUUAAAUAGAAUCCAUUCUAUUUGAAUUUGAAUAGAACGGAGUUCAAUAACCGCUGUGGUUUGAAUAUUAGAUAUAUAUUUAGCCUUAUAACAAAUAGGGUUGGCAUCAGGAAGGGCAUCCAGCCAUAAAACCUAUGCCAAAACUACAUGGAAUGUCUGCUAGACUACAAGUAAGUUAUAACUGUGUUAGGAUGUCCCCCUGAAGCAAUGCGCAGGGCUGCACAACAUAGGGUUCUCCUGGUGGAUUGUGACUUUCUUAUGAGCCAUUGUAAGAAUUGUGUUAGCCAAAUUGAACAAAGGAUCAAAUGGUGGAGAUUGAAACAGGAGGAAUUAAGGAAAGAAUUUAAGUUUAAAGUGUUAAUAGAAAUCCAGUUCCUGGAUGAUGUGCAAACAUGGUGGUUGCUGAAUAGUAAUUGCAUUUUGAAAGUUGGAGAAGAGGUUUUGAGAAAAACUUCAGGGAGGAGAUCGCCAGAAGGAAAGGAACUUUAGUGAUGGAAUGCUGAGGUACAAUCCACAGUUAAACAAAAGAAAGAUGUAAAGAAAAGGAGGGAAUUGAUGGGAAGGCCUGAAGAUAAGGAAACUUAUCAUUUGGCAAAUGAAAUGACUAAAAAGGCAAUGGCUAUUGCAAAAGCAAAAACUUUAGAAGAGGCAUAUAAAGUUUUCAAAAAGAAAGGUGUGAAAGGAAGUUGAUGAAAAUUGCCAAAACAAGAGAUAAGGCAUCAAAAGAUUUUACCUCUAUUAAACUGAUUAAAGAUGAUAAAGGAGUGGUAUUACAAGAUUACAGAAGGGUCAAGGAAAGAUGGAAAGUAUAUUUCAGGAAUUUAUUGAACGAAGGAACCCCCAGAACUUUAUACGAGAAUAGAGAGGCAAAUGAAGGAGUGGUGCAUGAUAUUAGCAGAGAAGGAAAAAAUGUGCUUAGGAAAAUGAAAAUGGGGAAAGCAGUAGGCACUGAUCAGAUUCCAGUUGAGGCUUGGAGAGGUUUGGGUAAGGAUUGAUAUCCUCUGGGACCAUAUGAAGAAACUCUGGCAGCAAGAGAAAAUCCCAGAUGAAUGGAGAAAGAGCAUUCCUGUGCUGAUCUUUAAAGGUAAAGGGGAUGUACAGAAUUGCGGAAAUUACAGAGGUAUAAAGAUAUUGCCCCAUACUAUGAAGAUUUGGGAGAAAAUUGUAGAAAGAAGGAUUAGACAGGAAUCUGAGAUUGGAGAGGAACAGUUUGGCUUUUUGCCAGGCAGGAGUACAACUGAUGCUAUCUUUGCUCUAAAACAGCCGAUAGAAAAGGCACAGGGAAAUGCAGGAAGAUUUGCACAUGGUGUUCAUAGAUCUAGAAAAGGUAUAUGAUAGGGUACCAAGGCAAGAGAUAUGGAAUUGUUUGAGGGAAAAGAAUGUUCCACAGAAAUACGUUAGACUUGUCAAGGAAAUGUACAAGGGAGCAGAGACCCAACUUAAUAGUAGUGUAGGCACUACAGAAGGGUUCUUCCUUACCCUGCGUUAGUGCACUUAGUUUUUUUCGGCAUUAAUGCAGUGGGUUGUUUGUCCACCCCCACAUUUUUUUGGGUCCAUAAACCAUGUAAGUAAAAAUUCAUAAAGAUUUACUCAUUUAUUUGGUAAAGGCAUGUGUCAUUAUACAUAUGAUUAUAUUCAGGUAUGAUUACAUAUUAUAUUAGUACAUAAAUCCAUGAAAAUAAAAAACAACAUAUAU